UACAGAGGGUGCGAGCGUUAAUCGGAAUUACUGGGCGUAAAGCGCGCGUAGGCGGCUUUGCAAGUCGGGUGUGAAAUCCCCAGGCUUAACCUGGGAACUGCAUUCGAGACUGCAUUGCUAGAGUAUGGGAGAGGGAAGUGGAAUUUCCGGUGUAGCGGUGAAAUGCGUAGAUAUCGGAAGGAACAUCAGUGGCGAAAGCGGCGCACUGGACCACAACUGACGCUGAGGCGCGAAAGCUAGGGGAGCGAACGGG
rnacentral:rRNA from 1 species